GUUAUACUCCCUCCAUCCGGAAUUACUUGUCCACAAAUGGAAGUAUCUAGGACUAAUAUAAAUUUAAAUACAUCCACUCUUGUGACAAGUAUUUCCGGACGGAGGGAGUACCUA
rfam:Hordeum vulgare subsp. vulgare, WGS project CAJW01000000 data, contig: morex_contig_43345